GUCUUUUUGAAAUAAAUUUAAAGUCUAACCUGCCCACUGAAAAUUUUAAAUGGCCGCAGUAUUCUAACUGUGCAAAGGUAGCAUAAUCAUUAGUCUUUUAAUUGAAGGCUGGAAUGAAUGGUUGGACGAGAUAUUAACUGUUUCAUUUAAAUUUUUUAUAGAAUUUUAUUUUUUAGUCAAAAAGCUAAAAUAAAUUUAAAAGACGAGAAGACCCUAUAAAUCUUUAUAUUUUGUUUAUUUUAAUUAUAAAGAUUAUUUUUAUUAUAAUAAAUUAAAAUAUUUUAUUGGGGUGAUAUUAAAAUUUAAAAAACUUUUAAUUUUUAAAACCAUUAAUUUAUGAAUAAUUGAUCCAUUAAUAAUGAUUAAAAAUUUAAGUUACUUUAGGGAUAACAGCGUAAUUUUUUUGGAGAGUUCAUAUCGAUAAAAAAGAUUGCGACCUCGAUGUUGGAUUAAGAUAUAAUUUUGGGUGUAGCCGUUCAAAUUUUAAGUCUGUUCGACUUUUAAAUUCUU
rnacentral:rRNA from 1 species